CUACCGGAUAACAUAACAUAAUUAACAUAAACAUAAACAACGAAAAUGACGCUUCGAGGACAAGAAUUCGAGAAAUAAAGUUUACUUGGUCUUUUGUGAUGUUCCAAUUCCAUUUUUUUGAAAGUGACUCAUCAUGUUAUAGUGUGGUAUUUUCUGAAUGACUUUAUGUGAUAGUGUGAACGUUUUCUGACUGGCAGAAGGAUAUUCAGUUUUCUUUUUGCCCAACCUUGUCAGUCUGGUGCUAAAAAGAUUGAUUUCAAAUUGGUUUCUCAAAUACGAGCAGACGAUUUAGAAAGAAGAAUCUCAAGUGUUUUAAUAAAUUUGAUUUUCAUUCAAAGUCAAUCUCAUAAUCAAAUGGAGAAUAAGAUAAUCAAAAUGCCAAGAUAAAAGAUUAAUGCUGUUAUAUAGAAAGAAAAUGUAAUUAUUUGAACCACACAAAAAAUUUUCCAAAGUUCAAAAGGAUCAAAAAUUUUGAAAUAUAAACAUUAUAUAAGCAGUACAGGAAAAAUGCAUCCAUAAAGAAGAUCAAACACUUGAAUCAAUUGCGUACUGUACUGUUACUUGCGUAACCAUCUGUUGCUAGAGUGUGGAAACUGGAUGAACCUACUUUUAAAAUAUUUUUGCUUGCCAAACAAAUCUUUUAUUAUUAUAUUUUUUUAAUGUU